CUACGGGGUGCUGCAAUGAGGAAUAUUGCACAAUGGGGGGAACCCUGAUGCAGCAACGCCGCGUGGAGGAUGACGCAUUUCGGUGUGUAAACUCCUUUUAUAUGUCAAGAAAAUGACGGUAGCAUAUGAAUAAGCACCGGCUAACUCCGUGCCAGCAGCUGCGGUAAUACGGAGGGUGCAAGCGUUACUCGGAAUCACUGGGCGUAAAGGACGCGUAGGCGGGUUGGAAAGUCAGGUGUGAAAUCCUACAGCUUAACUGUAGAACUGCACUUGAAACUUCUAAUCUAGAGUAUGGGAGGGGGAGAUGGAAUUAGUGGUGUAGGGGUAAAAUCCGUAGAUAUCACUAGGAAUACCUAAAGCGAAGGCGAUCUCCUGGAACAUUACUGACGCUAAGGCGUGAAAGCGUGGGGAGCAAACAGGAUUAGAUACCCCAGUAGUC
rnacentral:rRNA from 1 species